UAGAUAUCUUUCACCUUUUCCUAGUUUGUAAGUUUUAGCUUUAAGUCGCCUUCAGCGUUUUCAUUGUCCUCGAAAUUUCAAAUAGCCUUCAGCAUUUUACCUCUCGAAUCGCCUUCAGCCUUCUUCAUUUUCACAUUAUUUUCAAGUAGCCUUCACUGUGUUCAGCCUUCAGCAUGUUUUAUAAAAAAAAAUUUUGCAAAUUUUUUUUCUUUCCUGGUGAGAGGUGUGUGCAACGACUUGCACGCCCAUGCUUGACACCUUAUUGUUGCAACGCCGCUGAUUUUCGCGAACUACAUCUUUACGUUGACACACAUUAGCUCUGUGUCUCGCGCCUCGGUAAUCUUUCAUUUGUCUGCGCAUUGAAAAUUUCUCGAAGGUUCUUCCUUUUCCGCUUUUUCCCUCAAGGAAGAAGGUUAUCUGUCGAAAUAUCGUAUCGGAAUUCAUCGAUUGAUUAUUCUGAAAUUAAUGAAUUUUAAGUUGGCGAGGUUAACAAUAUUGUCUCGCUUUUUGGUCCGGAGCUCAAAUUUUUGGUACGGAGCUCAAAUUUUUGGACUGGAACUCCAAUUUCUGUACCGGAGCUGGCUGCUUAUGUGUUUGACAAGAAUUUGGAAUGCAACUUUGGCUUGAGGCACAGCAUUUGAACGGAGCUUGAGGCUUAAUAGAAUUUGGACAGAAAUGCAGGUGUCUGACUCUGAAAGUACGAUUUUGGUUUAAAGCAGAAUCAUCAACCUUGGGCUGAAAUUCAACUCUACGCUGCACAUUAUCGAAUACUACAGGAAACCCACGUCCAAAGGGACAGAUCUGUUGCUUGAACUCACUUAAGCUAAGUAGAUCUAAGUUGUGAAAUUUUGAGAGACUGUAAACUUUAAAUUUCUGUCAUUACGAGUGAUUUUCAGAUUGUACAUUGUAAUUAUUUUAAAUAAUAUAUUGUGAAAAACCUGA